rnacentral:rRNA from 1 species
UACGGGGGGGGCAAGCGUUGUUCGGAAUUACUGGGCGUAAAGGGCUCGUAGGCGGCCAACUAAGUCAGACGUGAAAUCCCUCGGCUUAACCGGGGGAACUGCGUCUGAUACUGGAUGGCUUGAGUUUGGGAGAGGGACGCGGAAUUCCAGGUGUAGCGGGUGAAAUGCGUAGAUAUCUGGAGGAACACCGGUGGCGAAGGCGGCGUCCUGGACCAAUACUGACACUGAAACGCGAAAGCCAGGGGAGCAAACGGG